UCCAGCCAUGCCGCGUGAGUGAAGAAGGCCUUCGGGUUGUAAAGCUCUUUCAGACGGAAAGAAACGGUGACGACUAAUACUCGGGACGAAUGACGGUACCGUCAGAAGAAGCACCGGCUAACUACGUGCCAGCAGCCGCGGUAAUACGUAGGGUGCGAGCGUUAAUCGGAAUUACUGGGCGUAAAGCGUGCGCAGGCGGUUUGGUAAGACAGAUGUGAAAUCCCCGGGCUUAACCUGGGAACUGCAUUUGUGACUGCCAGACUAGAGUGCGGCAGAGGGGGGUAGAAUUCCACGUGUAGCAGUGAAAUGCGUAGAUAUGUGGAGGAAUACCGAUGGCGAAGGCAGCCCCCUGGGUCGACACUGACGCUCAUGCACGAAAGCGUGGGGAGCAAACAGGAUUAGAUACCCUGGUAGUCCACGCCCUAAACGAUGUCAACUAGUUGUUGGGGAAGGAGACUUCUUUAGUAACGUAGCUAACGCGCUAAGUUGACCGCCUGGGGAGUACGGUCGCAAGAUUA
rnacentral:rRNA from 1 species